rnacentral:rRNA from 1 species
GUCGAGCGGACUUAAAAAGCUUGCUUUUUAAGUUAGCGGCGGACGGGUGAGUAACACGUGGGCAACCUGCCUGUAAGACUGGGAUAACUUCGGGAAACCGGAGCUAAUACCGGAUAAUCCUUUUCUACUCAUGUAGAAAAGCUGAAAGACGGUUUACGCUGUCACUUACAGAUGGGCCCGCGGCGCAUUAGCUAGUUGGUGAGGUAACGGCUCACCAAGGCGACGAUGCGUAGCCGACCUGAGAGGGUGAUCGGCCACACUGGGACUGAGACACGGCCCAGACUCCUACGGGAGGCAGCAGUAGGGAAUCUUCCGCAAUGGACGAAAGUCUGACGGAGCAACGCCGCGUGAGUGAUGAAGGUUUUCGGAUCGUAAAACUCUGUUGUUAGGGAAGAACAAGUACGAGAGUAACUGCUCGUACCUUGACGGUACCUAACCAGAAAGCCACGGCUAACUACGUGCCAGCAGCCGCGGUAAUACGUAGGUGGCAAGCGUUGUCCGGAAUUAUUGGGCGUAAAGCGCGCGCAGGCGG